GUAGGGGUGCAAGCGUUAUCCGGAAUCAUUGGGCGUAAAGAGCUCGUAGGCGGUUCAGCAAGUCGGCUGUGAAAUCCCGAGGGCUUAACCUCGGAACUGCAGUCGAUACUGCUGUGACUAGAGUCCGGUAGAGGAGAAUGGAAUUCCCGGUGUAGCGGUGAAAUGCGCAGAUAUCGGGAGGAACACCAGUAGCGAAGGCGGUUCUCUGGGCCGGUACUGACGCUGAGGAGCGAAAGCGUGGGUAGCAAACAGGAUUAGAUACCCUGGUAGUCCACGCCGUAAACGUUGGACACUAGGUGUGGCGUUCCGACCAACGGGUGCCGUGCCGAAGCUAACGCAUUAAGUGUCCCGCCUGGGGAGUACGGCCGCAAAGGCUA
rnacentral:rRNA from 1 species